rnacentral:rRNA from 1 species
UACGAAGGGGGCUAGCGUUGUUCGGAAUUACUGGGCGUAAAGGGCGCGCAGGCGGCCCGUUAAGUCAGGCGUGAAAGCCCCGGGCUCAACCUGGGAGGUGCGCUUGAUACUCGAGGGCUUGAGUGCGGGAGAGGAGAGUGGAAUACCCAGUGUAGAGGUGAAAUUCGUAGAUAUUGGGUGGAACACCGGUGGCGAAAGCGGCUCUCUGGCCCGGUUCUGACGCUGAGGCGCGAAAGCGUGGGGAGCAAACAGG